CCAACUUCAGCUCAUGUCAAGCCAGAUUCACUCAAAAUAGCCACUCCACCACCACACUCGCAUGAUCGCAUCGUUGUUAACGAAAGCAAGAGCCCAUUCCUAACCCUAACCCUAAAAUUUCAUCAAUGGACAAUGCUCAGAUGAUCAGAUCCAAGUGGAUCCUUCGCUCCAACCACGCCCGAUCUCCGCCAGUCCGAAAUCGCCAUAUCCGAUCAUCUCGUAGAACGGAUUGUUGUAUCACUGACGCCUCACCAAGAGAGGCAGAAAUCGAUAAUGGCUGCGAUUCGUUUCGAUUCUCUGACCGGUAAUCUUUGUUCAUUGAGAAUCGACACCUCAAUUCUUCUCUUACCGAUAAUCCUCGUUGGAAAUGGGAUGCAUAUUCACUGGCGAAGACCUCGAUAGGAUUUUCAGUGAACAUGCGCGCGACCGAUCUGAAUUACGCUGUUUCGAAUCGCGUCGAGUAGGUUCGGGCUGCUGUCUCGCGAGUUCGAAUUCGCUUUGCAUUUCAGUCCAAUUCCAUUGGGUCCCGUCCCGUCGAUGGCCGACUUCUUCUAGAAGAAGCGGAACGCGUUGAUCGCCUGGUGGGAAGCCUGAGAUCGAUGAUUUUGUUUCUCACUCUUUCAGUGCUUAGUUUUCUUACGAAUCUUCACCUUGUUGAUCUUUAUAUGCAGCCCCAUUGUAAAGUUUGAGAACGCAAAAAGGUGAUAAAAUAACAGCAAUGGUUCGAUUACCUCACUCAUGGAUUUGUAGAUGAAGUGAAGGUUGAGGUCGCGGUCGCCACUGAGAAGCCUUGUGAUCUUGAGAUGAUGAUAAUUUAUAAGAAGGGAGUUGGAAGAUGAGAAGAUAAAAUGAGAAAAAGAAAAGAUUACGAGGAAGAUGACAUAUCAAGGCUACUGCAGUUGUUGAUGCUCUGAUUGGGGAUUUUGUGUGUGUUGUUUUCUUGUUUUUAGGUUUUUCUGUGUUGGCCCCAAAUUUGAAGGCAAUGCUGCCUGGUGUGUGUGUGUGUGCUCGUGUUUCCAUUUUUUUUCUUUUUCACUUUUUCAGAUCAUCUGAUGCAUGAGAGAACCAUGGAUCCACUGAAAAGAAAUAUUAAUGAUUUAAUCGGUAAUAACAAUUUGGGCCCAAGCCGAUAA